rnacentral:rRNA from 1 species
CCUACGGGAGGCAGCAGUGAGGAAUAUUGGUCAAUGGGCGCGAGCCUGAACCAGCCAAGUCGCGUGAGGGAGGACGGCCCUACGGGUUGUAAACCUCUUUUGCCGGGGAGCAACGGGCGUCACGUGUGGAGCCACUGCGAGUACCCGGCGAAAAAGCAUCGGCUAACUCCGUGCCAGCAGCCGCGGUAAUACGGAGCAUGCGAGCGUUAUCCGGAUUUGUUGGGUUUAAGGGGUGCGUAGGCGGAUCGUUAAGUCAGUGGUCAAAUUGAGGGGCUCAACCCCUUCCCGCCAUUGAAACUGGCGCUCUUGAGUGGAAGAGAAGUAGGCGGAAUGCGUGGUGUAGCGGUGAAAUGCAUAGAUAUCACGCAGAACCCCGAUUGCGAAGGCAGCAUGCCGGCUUCCGACUGACGCUGAAGCACGAAAGCGUGGGGAUCGAACAGGAUUAGAUACCCCUGUAGUC